CCUGUCUGCUGGGGAUGGAGCUCAGUGUAAAGGGCCUGGGCUCAAGGCAGGCAGGAAGGAAAGGGGUGAGUCUUGAGACACCCAGAGAAGAUCCUCGAGAUAUCCUAAAGAUAGGCCCAGGGGCCGGGCCAGAGCCCUGGAGGGUGCCGGCCUGCAGACUCUCAGCCCUGCCCGUCCUGCCCGGGAGCCCUGGUCCAAGUGGAGCUUUCUUGGCUGCACCCGAUUGUCCAACAGCUUCCGGUCUCCAGCCUCUGUUUCUUCCACGUGGGAACCAUCGGUCCCUGUGGAGCCCCGCAGACGGUGGGCAUGGAUUUCGGGGCCCCCCAAAGUGGAGAAAUUUUAGGUCAACUUUGAACUGGCCUAGAAUUUUGUGAUCAAAAGAUCUAAGAAGCAGCUCUUGGAAUUUUAGCUCCCAGGUCCUUUUGCGGCGCUGUGAGGAAUUACAUCUGGAGGGAGACUGCGGUCUUGUAACAUGGACUGCGGCCACUGGUGGGGAGGACAGCAGAGCGGGUCACCUUGGCACCUGUGCCACAGCCGCCUGGUGGUUUCCUGCUCUGGCUGGGACACGUGAGGGGAGGGAAACAAUGGCUUUGCCUUGGCAGAAAGGCGCUUCCUGUUUUGCUGCUGCGAUGCUCGGCACUGGGCACAGCCAGGGUGAGGCUUGGGUGUCUGUGUUUUUCAAGUUGCCAGGAUCCGAAGAGGGGGUUGGGGCCGGGGGGUGGAGGGUCCUAGGGCAGGUAAAGGAGGAGCAAGGCAGCUGGUUAUCUUUGCAAAACUGCUCAGCAACCCUUCCUGCCAUUGUCUUUUGGGCACCCGGAGAGGAUUCCUGCUGUCCCCAGCAGGUCCAAGCCAGAGCCCUUGUGUGUGGCUGAGGAUCACCCCAGAUCUCUGGCUGCCCCCUGCCCCCCGCCGGGAGAACCUUCCGCGGUGACCUUUAUUUUUGUUCGGGAAGGGCGACGGGAAGUCUGGGCUGAAGUAACCUCACUGCCGCAGCAGGGAUGGGAGUAAUGGGAUGGGUCUCCUGGCCAGGGGUGAGUUAGAAACCCAGGUGCCCAUGGGCGGAGCUGUGCAUCGAAUAGCUCAGGUCGCACGUCUUGGGUCCUAGACAGCCCAGGUGUCUGUGCUGAGCCUUUGACCGCUGCUGCAGGCAGGGGUGCAGCCCUUCCUCCUCUGGCUCCCUUGGGGACCAGACCCCAUGAUCCUGGCUGUUCUCUGUGGCCUAACCUUUGGGGACCCCUCUCGACCUGGCCCAUUUGACACUUGGGGUUUCCUUGUCUUGACUUCCUGGCUGUAUCCUUGUUUUGCUUCAACCAUUCUGGACCAACUUAGAGGUCUCCUCAAAGCACUUUCCUCCUCCUGGGGGUUUCCAUGUGUUUUCCUUUCAAGCUAAGCUGCUCUGGUUCCUCUGCCCCUGUUGGAUUUUAACUCGUCAUUCAAGGCCCGGCGGAAACAGCACCUGGCAUGUUCCUGCUGCCCAGUGCAGGGCUGAGUUAAACCAAAGCACGUGGCUAUGGAUCUGACCCCAAGGAGGCUCCACCUGGGGCUCAGGGAGGCUGGGCAGAGGAUGGAGCUCUGCCUCUGCAAGAUCAGUGUUGGCUUUGGGUCCCUGCCCUGGGGGCUUUCUGGUGGGAUGAGCGGUCUCCUCCUGGCCUCAGGGAGUGAGCAGACUGACAGGCAGGUCACGGGCAUCAAGGAGCUUCCAGAUGGGGGAAGGACGGACGCUAACACUUCCCUGCUGAAUUCCACCAUUCCAGAGAGGAGGAAGGCCAGGCCCAGAGUCGUUAAGGACUUUCCCAGAGGAGUCACCUAGAAGUCCUCUCCUCUGUGCCCUGCACCACACUGGGUCAACUGGGAGCUCCAUUCCGCAACCAGUGGACGCCCCAGGUCAAAUCCUUCUGCUGCCCCCACCCCAGCAAGGGUGGCAGCUCAGGGGGCCCGGUGUCAGGGCAGUGCCACUUCUGAGCCAAUCUACACCCGCGCUUCAAUGGCUGGGGAGGAGGCCUGGGCCUGUGUCCUGGCUUCGAGGAGGCUGGGAGUUUGAGUUUUUGUUGUAUCUAUUUUAUUUUACUUUUGGUACUGGGGAAAGAACUUAGGACCUCAUGCUUGCGAGGCAGGUGCAGCACCACUGAGCUACAUCCCCAGCCCGAGGAUGACUCUUCUUAAGAUGACAGCCAUAAACACAACACAUGCCCACUGUAGUGACUCACCCUAAAUGUCACUUCAAGUGUUCAUUUAUAUAGUCGAAUACUUCCCUCUUUUCAAAUCCCACUCCUUUCUUAAAAUGUGGUUUUGAGCAAAAAAUUUUUAUGACAUAAUUUAUGCAGGGUAUCAUUUACAUAUAGUAAAACCCACCCACUCUAGGGUACAGUUCUAGGUUUUCUUUUCAAGGAAACUCAUGCAGUAGCUCCAGUUCUGCUGGUCUUCCAUGCUCCACGAGAGAGUCCUGCCUCAGCCUCUCCCGUGGUCACUGAAAUGGAAUGAGACAUAUUGCCAGUGCUUUGCGGGGGAAAAGCCAAACCGAAGCCUACUAAAUUUCUAGAACCUUCUCUGAUUGGGCCCGUUGUUGUUCCAGAGCAGAAAGGGCAGAGGACAGAAGGCAGCUGUGUGUGACGCACAGGCCGAGAAGGGACAAAGAAAUUGGUGGCUUCGUUUGUGGGCGGGAGCAGGGGGCUGGGGCUCAGCGAAAAGAACUCUGGUUUCCGAGUCGGUCUUGGCCUCAAGCAAAUGUCCCGAUGCUUACGAUUAGUUUCACUGGUGGUAAAAAUACAGCCCAGAGCAGUUCUAGUCUGAGGGAGCCUGCAGUGUGAGGGGCCAUCACGUCAGCCAGGCACCUGGCCUGGGCAGCUUCUCGGCAGCGUGCGAUCCCUUCCCUCUGUCUUUCUCUCGCUGCUUGACUCACCGAGCCCGUUCUGGGUUUUGGCAUUUUGUAGAUUUGUACAGCUGAGACAUCCAAAAAUAACCUUGAAUUAUGAUGGGUUUGGUGCCGAGGCCCACUGGCAGGCACUUUUGUGUAAAUAGCAGAAGUGAAAAGGGAAAAAAAAGCGAUUUCAUUUCUAGCGUUUGAAACAAAGAGGCCCCCUUGCCGGCCGGGGUGAGAGGGCAGAGCUGGGAAGGAGGGAAGGUCGGGUAGUUUUCUUUGUUGUUUUUGUUUUUGUUCUAUGAUGAUGUGGGGGACUCUCCAGGGAUAUCACGGGGCACAGAGCAGGGCAGAAGGGGGUGGCAAAUGCAGGGCCCGGAGGGAAAUUUCACCCUGGCCCCGACGUCAUAGGGCAGAAGUAGGGGGCCGGAAAGAGGGCUGAGUGGGGAACAGGGCUGGGCACCAUCCCACCUUUCUGCUCCCCCUCUCAAGCACAGCAGGGAUGGUUCCUCAAUUCAUUUCUCAGUGAGUCUCUAGAGAAAGGUCAUCUUUGGGGACCGCGUGAUUCCUGAAAUGCUAGCACUGCAGAGGCAGGGUUUCAACGGUGUGUGUUUGUGGGUCCUGGGGACUCACGAAAAGAGAAGUCAGGGCCUGGCCAGCGUGGCCGUAGGCCCACACUGACGUCAUGGGUUGUUAUUAUUUUGUGGUACCGGGGAUCGAACUCCAGUCCUUGAGCUUGCGCAGCAGGCGGUGAAACCACUGAGCUAAAUCCCCGGCCCGUGUUGUUAUUAUUUUUAACAAAGCCUCUUCCCUCUUCCCAGCUUAGUUUUUUUUUUUUUGUGUUGGGGAUCGAAUUCAGGACCUUGCGCUUUUGAGGCAGGCGCGGUGCCACUGAGCUAAAUCAUCGGCCACCAGCCUAAUUUUUGACUGGUCCUCCAAUCUACGUGUUUUGGUCACUUUCUUCACUGCUGGGAUACGAUACCUGACACCCACAACUCAAGGGCGGACAGGUUUCUUCUGGCUCACGUUUCAGCCCACUGUCUGCUGGCUCCGAGGCAGGAUGAUAUGGCAGAGGGGCCUGGCAGAGGAGAGCGGCUUGCCUUGUGGAGGACAGGAAGCAGAGUGCUUCAAGAGAGGAGCCAGGGGAUUUAGCUCAGUGGUUCUGCCACCUGCCUUGCAAGCGCAAGGACCCGAGUUCGAUUCCCAGUAUCAAAAAAACCCCAAAAACAAAAACAAGAGAGGAGCCAGGGUGGGAGAUAAACCCUUCUGGGCCAUGCCCACAGUGACCUGACGCCACCCGGACAGCCAUCAGCUGUGAGGACCACAAUCUGGUCACCUUCCAAAAGCUCUGCCUGGGAUGUACAAGGCCUGGGGGGACAUCUAGGUAGGAACAUAACACUGUGCUUUCUUUGUAGGCUCAGCAAGAGGAAGUGAAUCCCCCAGGGCCCAGGACUGGAAAGGCCUUCAGUGAGGCUGGCACUGGCCAUUCUAGCAAGUUCUUGGCCGAUGCAGAUUGAUAGAACAUUUGCUUUUUGACGAAGCCCAGCCUGGCAGCUAGAGUUUGCAUGGCCCUGAGAUACUGCAUAAUCUUUCUCAUCAUCAUCAAUGUGCAAAGUACUUCGGUAUCAUCACCUACCUGACUUCCUGUGGCUGGAAGCCUCACUUCUGUGUUCACGACUCAAAGCUAGCUAUUCGCCAGUCUGCCUGGGCUGUCAGACCCGGGGGCAGCAGAGAAUGGGGACUGGCUUUGGAGGAGGGAGAGGUACUCUAGCCUGCCCUCAACCUGGCUCUGGAGCUGAGCCCUGCAAAAGGUACCCAUAAAAAAGAGCCACCUCCAUCUUUCAGUGGUUAAGGGGCAUUUGGGGGACAUGUUUGUGCGAAGCAUUUCACAGGUGCACUUACCCACUGGGCUGUAGAGAUAGCUCCUCUACCAGGUGGCAGGCCUGGGCCAUGCCUUAUUGGAUCUUGUGUUGUUGGGGCCGAGGACAGUCCUUGGCAUAUUAAAGGUACUCAGUAGUUGUUUGUAAGAAGGAUUCAUGCCUCACAAGAAAUCUGUGACUGGCCAGGCUCUUUCCCCAGCCCAGGCAGCAGAUUUGGACACAUUGUUGUUUCAGGGAUUUAGCAGCCCACCUCGAUUUAGUAAGGUGUACGAGUUGGACUUGUCCCCGUGUGCUUGGGACUUACUCCGGUGGCUGCAGGGGUUGGAUAGCUUCAGCGGUCAACAUCCCCGUUCAGUCCCAGGUAAAUGGGGACAGGGUUCUGUCAUAGCCGCUCACCCAGUUCUUGUCAUGCUCCUGUAGAGGGCGCUGGAGGUAAAGCACAGAAAGCAGAGGCCAGCGGACUGAGCCCUUCCGGGUGGAGAUGUGUCCCAUCCCAGGGGCACAGGCACCAUCAGACUCCAGGUUCUGUUUCCUGUCACGGUUCUUAGCACCCCCACGAGGGACACCUGGCAGGGAACCAGUGCUGUUGGAGGACAGGGCUGACCGUGUCAGAGAAGCUUGAUGCUUGCACCUCUUAUUUCUGACCUCGAGAAAGCAAACUGUGUCAAUAAACCGUGAUGUGUCUCGGGCUGCCGUGCUUGCAGAGGUGACCUCGCCAGGAGCCGUGACAAUCAGACCGGGGCAGGAACAGUGGGUACAGAAGUCUCACGCAGAGCAGAAAGCUGUGGGAACGUAGGAGAGGGCCAAGGGGGUCUGAGCUGACAGCAGUAAAGCCGGGACCCAGCCAGCUCCGUGUUCGAGGAGCUCUGCAUCCCCUCUUUUUCAGAAGUGAGGCCGCUUCUUUCCCUGAGUCUAGGACAGCUCUCAGAUGAGAGUCUUAUGACCGCUCCAAGAGGAGGCCAGAAAGUCCUUCCUGUCCCUGCCAUUUCUCUGAUCACUUCUGCCUAAGAAAGUCCAUAUCCCAAGACCCCAUAAUUGGGGGGUCACAUAUCCUGGGCCCCACCAACACAUCCCACCUCGGGCACUGGCCUGGCAGAAGCACAGGAGUCAGUACCGGCUCCGGGAGCGCAGAUUUCCCGGGCCCGCACGCAACGCCCAUGAGUGGCCGCCUGGUGCGUGCAGCUGCCCGGGGCUCGGCUGGGCUGCAGAGGCGUUAGGACAGAGGCUCUCGCGGCCCACUCUAUGUUGUUAAACCAGACUUGAGGCAACAACUGCAUUUCCUCAGGUGUGUGUGGGCACUGUUUUGUAAGGAUGCCCGGCUGGGGAUUGAAAAGCAGAGGUGCUGCUCACUCCUCGGGACACUGUUAGUGUGGCUGUGUGCGCCUGCACCCAUGUCUGGAAAAUGACUUAGUUAGGGUCCCCGUCUUUCUUCCUGUAUGAUGAAGAGAAGUUACUGGCUUCAAAGCCUUUCACCCUCUUAGAAAAUCACUUGAAGAACUGCAGGGAUAGGAGAAAAGCGUCGGUGCUCGGAGGGAGCUGCGGAGGAGAGGCAGCGCUGUGGCUCCCAGUCUGAGCUCUCACCCCGCAGUGGGGUGCCAUCACCCGUAGAGCCCCAGCAGGCAGACCCAGGUGGGAUGCUGUCUCCAUCCUAAGUUCAUCGUGUAGUUCUGGACCAGUUAUUUAACCUCCCUGAACCAAUGGUGAUGAUAUUCAUGACAUCCUCCUGAGAUCCAGGUGGGUGAAGGGAGAGAACAGGUAAGGUCUUUAGUCUAGACCUGGCCUUUGCAGGGUUUCAGCCUCUAUGUGUGUUGAGGGAGUGAGUUACUUCCUGUUCUUAACUUCAAGUUCCCUCUUCUGUUAAUCCACUGUUGUUUAGCUGGAAUGAUGCUGGAGUAGAUGAAGUUAUGGCUUUCAUUGGUUGCAUGAAACGUGAUCAAAAUACAGUGUGAAUGAUUAAAUUUUAAGAAAUUUAUUACAGUAAAGGACAUGUUGCCAUGAGUCCCCCUCAAUACUCCCCCGUCACUUUGAACACACAUAUGCCAUUGUUCUUGGCACUUUCUUUUUGUUUUUUUGGUACCAGGGAUCGAACUCGGGUCCUUGCGCUUGUGCAGCAGGUGGUGAAACCACUGAGCUAAAUCCCCGGCCCUUUCUUUCCACUUUCUGAAGGAGUUCUGGAGUCCUCUUUCGUGAGUGUCAUUACGAGUUGUGAUAAAAACAACUAUGGUGAAUGCUGAUGCCAAGUGCCAUUCAAGUAUGGAAAAGCAGGCUCAUAUAAACAUUACAGCGUGUCCUCAUCCACUUUAGUCACCAGGUAUGGCACCGUGCAACUUCGGGCUCUUCUCCAAAGUCUAAAUGAUCAUGAAAAGAAAAGUUUUGAAUCAAUUCAGGGCAUGGGGGCAGCCACGACAGUGCAAGUAAAGACAUUCCUGAAAGAGGACUUUCAGAACUGCUGCAGAAAGCAGCAAGAGCGAUGGAUAAGUGUGUUGGAAGUGAGGGGAAGGAUUCUGAGGGAGAUUCAUGGCAGUGCACUCUUUACUUUAACACAUUUUAAAAAAUGUAGUAAUCACCAUAUUUUAAAAAUCAAAUCUCAUAUUUAGAGACACUCAAUGAAUAGGUUUAGAUGUUUUGCAAGUUUUCACAGGUAUCCAACUUUGAACUGUCUUCACCCUCCUCCUCAUUAUCUACAACGAAGACCAACGGGCUGACCGCGAGGCGCCUGGCAAGAGACAAAGCACCCUGCACAUGUUCUCAUUUUCUUCUCACAUCCACUCCAGGAAACGGAUACUGCAGUAAUUUUUUCCCUCUUGCGCAGAUGAGAAAACUAAAAACUGAACUUGAACCACAAACUGUACUAAAACCUGUUCUCAACCUCAACUCUUUACUGCUUCUCUUCACGUGACUGAUUUCAUCUUUCACAGGUUGGAUCUUACUAGUUUCGCUUCUGGAGGACUCAGCAAUCUCCGGGUCCUGGGUUCUGGUUUCAAGUUGUCCGCAAACACUGCCAAGGACAAGAUGACUGGUGGUGCCACCAUGUGUUUCUGAAAAUAAGAAAGAACUGAAAAAUAAUCAGCCUUGAAAGCUAGAGAUAAAAAAUGCCAUGGCUGGGCAUUUAGCUCAGUGGUUCUGCUGCCUGCCUUGUAACCACAAGGUCCCGAGUUCGAUCCCUGGUACCCCCCCACCAAAAGAAAGCCAGCCCCAGGAAAACAGGCUGUCCACAUGCUGAAGAUUAAAUCUAGACCCACAUCUCUCACCGUGCACUAAACUAAAAUGGAAAUGGAUCAAAGAUCUAAAUAUAAAGACAGAAACAAUCUGCUGGAAGAGAGGUUAGGUGGAACUCUUGAAGACAUUGGCGUAGGAAAAGACUUUGU